rnacentral:rRNA from 3 species
GGGUUGUGAGGUUAAGCGACUAAGCGUACACGGUGGAUGCCCUGGCAGUCAGAGGCGAUGAAGGGCGUGCUAAUCUGCGAUAAGCGCCGGUAAGGUGAUAUGAACCGUUAUAACCGGCGAUACCCGAAUGGGGAAACCCAGUGUGAUUCGUCACACUAUCAUUAACUGAAUCCAUAGGUUAAUGAGGCGAACCGGGGGAACUGAAACAUCUAAGUACCCCGAGGAAAAGAAAUCAACCGAGAUUCCCCCAGUAGCGGCGAGCGAACGGGGAGGAGCCCAGAGCCUGAAUCAGCAUGUGUGUUAGUGGAAGCGUCUGGAAAGGCGCGCGAUACAGGGUGACAGCCCCGUACACAAAAGCGCAUGUGCUGUGAGCUCGAUGAGUAGGGCGGGACACGUGGUAUCCUGUCUGAAUAUGGGGGGACCAUCCUCCAAGGCUAAAUACUCCUGACUGACCGAUAGUGAACCAGUACCGUGAGGGAAAGGCGAAAAGAACCCCGGCGAGGGGAGUGAAAAAGAACCUGAAACCGUGUACGUACAAGCAGUGGGAGCACCCUUUGGGGUGUGACUGCGUACCUUUUGUAUAAUGGGUCAGCGACUUAUAUUCUGUAGCAAGGUUAACCGUAUAGGGGAGCCGUAGGGAAACCGAGUCUUAACCGGGCGUUAAGUUGCAGGGUAUAGACCCGAAACCCGGUGAUCUAGCCAUGGGCAGGUUGAAGGUUGGGUAACACUAACUGGAGGACCGAACCGACUAAUGUUGAAAAAUUAGCGGAUGACCUGUGGCUGGGGGUGAAAGGCCAAUCAAACCGGGAGAUAGCUGGUUCUCCCCGAAAGCUAUUUAGGUAGCGCCUCGUGAAUUCAUCUCCGGGGGUAGAGCACUGUUUCGGCUAGGGGGCCAUCCCGGCUUACCAACCCGAUGCAAACUGCGAAUACCGGAGAAUGUUAUCACGGGAGACACACGGCGGGUGCUAACGUCCGUCGUGAAGAGGGAAACAACCCAGACCGCCAGCUAAGGUCCCAAAGUCAUGGUUAAGUGGGAAACGAUGUGGGAAGGCCCAGACAGCCAGGAUGUUGGCUUAGAAGCAGCCAUCAUUUAAAGAAAGCGUAAUAGCUCACUGGUCGAGUCGGCCUGCGCGGAAGAUGUAACGGGGCUAAACCAUGCACCGAAGCUGCGGCAGCGACGCUGAUGCGUUGUUGGGUAGGGGAGCGUUCUGUAAGCCUGCGAAGGUGGCCUGUGAGGGUUGCUGGAGGUAUCAGAAGUGCGAAUGCUGACAUAAGUAACGAUAAAGCGGGUGAAAAGCCCGCUCGCCGGAAGACCAAGGGUUCCUGUCCAACGUUAAUCGGGGCAGGGUGAGUCGACCCCUAAGGCGAGGCCGAAAGGCGUAGUCGAUGGGAAACGGGUUAAUAUUCCCGUACUUGGUGUUACUGCGAAGGGGGGACGGAGAAGGCUAUGUUGGCCGGGCGACGGUUGUCCCGGUUUAAGCGUGUAGGUGUGUGUUCCAGGUAAAUCCGGUUCACUUUAACACUGAGGCGUGACGACGAGGCACUACGGUGCUGAAGCAACAAAUGCCCUGCUUCCAGGAAAAGCCUCUAAGCAUCAGGUAACAUCAAAUCGUACCCCAAACCGACACAGGUGGUCAGGUAGAGAAUACCAAGGCGCUUGAGAGAACUCGGGUGAAGGAACUAGGCAAAAUGGUGCCGUAACUUCGGGAGAAGGCACGCUGACACGUAGGUGAAGUGAUUUACUCAUGGAGCUGAAGUCAGUCGAAGAUACCAGCUGGCUGCAACUGUUUAUUAAAAACACAGCACUGUGCAAACACGAAAGUGGACGUAUACGGUGUGACGCCUGCCCGGUGCCGGAAGGUUAAUUGAUGGGGUCAGCGCAAGCGAAGCUCCUGAUCGAAGCCCCGGUAAACGGCGGCCGUAACUAUAACGGUCCUAAGGUAGCGAAAUUCCUUGUCGGGUAAGUUCCGACCUGCACGAAUGGCGUAAUGAUGGCCAGGCUGUCUCCACCCGAGACUCAGUGAAAUUGAACUCGCUGUGAAGAUGCAGUGUACCCGCGGCAAGACGGAAAGACCCCGUGAACCUUUACUAUAGCUUGACACUGAACAUUGAGCCUUGAUGUGUAGGAUAGGUGGGAGGCUUUGAAGUGUGGACGCCAGUCUGCAUGGAGCCGACCUUGAAAUACCACCCUUUAAUGUUUGAUGUUCUAACGUGGACCCGUGAUCCGGGUUGCGGACAGUGUCUGGUGGGUAGUUUGACUGGGGCGGUCUCCUCCUAAAGAGUAACGGAGGAGCACGAAGGUUGGCUAAUCCUGGUCGGACAUCAGGAGGUUAGUGCAAUGGCAUAAGCCAGCUUGACUGCGAGCGUGACGGCGCGAGCAGGUGCGAAAGCAGGUCAUAGUGAUCCGGUGGUUCUGAAUGGAAGGGCCAUCGCUCAACGGAUAAAAGGUACUCCGGGGAUAACAGGCUGAUACCGCCCAAGAGUUCAUAUCGACGGCGGUGUUUGGCACCUCGAUGUCGGCUCAUCACAUCCUGGGGCUGAAGUAGGUCCCAAGGGUAUGGCUGUUCGCCAUUUAAAGUGGUACGCGAGCUGGGUUUAGAACGUCGUGAGACAGUUCGGUCCCUAUCUGCCGUGGGCGCUGGAGAACUGAGGGGGGCUGCUCCUAGUACGAGAGGACCGGAGUGGACGCAUCACUGGUGUUCGGGUUGUCAUGCCAAUGGCACUGCCCGGUAGCUAAAUGCGGAAGAGAUAAGUGCUGAAAGCAUCUAAGCACGAAACUUGCCCCGAGAUGAGUUCUCCCUGAGACUUAGAGUCUCCUGAAGGAACGUUGAAGACGACGACGUUGAUAGGCCGGGUGUGUAAGCGCAGCGAUGCGUUGAGCUAACCGGUACUAAUGAACCGUGAGGCUUAACCUUACAACGCCGAAG